CAAAACAACCAGGAGGUUGGCUUAGAAGCAGCCACCUUUUAAAGAAAGCGUAAUAGCUCACUGGUCUAAAUAAGCCGUCCUGCGCCGAAGAUGUACCGGGGCUCAAACCGUACACCGAAGCUGCGGAUUCGAUCUUUGAUCGAGUGGUAGCGGAGCGUUCCGUAAGCCUGUGAAGGGAUACCCGUGAGGGGUCCUGGAGGUAUCGGAAGUGAGAAUGCUGACAUGAGUAGCGAUAAAGAGUGUGAGAAACACUCUCGCCGAAAUCCCAAGGGUUCCUGCGCAAGGCUAAUCCGCGCAGGGUGAGCCGGCCCCUAAGGUGAGGGCGAAAGCCGUAGCCGAUGGGAACCAGGUCAACAGUCCUGGGCCUGC
rnacentral:rRNA from 1 species